UCACGAUGUCACUGGGUAUGUGUGCAGGUUAACUUUAUAAGAAAUUGCCAAACUUCUUUAAAAUAUAGCUGUAAAUUUACUCUCCCACCACAAAUGUAUGAGAUUUUCUUUGCUUCAUAACCUCUUCAACACUUGCUAUAUUCAGUCCCCAAUUUUUUUUCUUAAGAGAUGGAGUCUUGCUCUAUCACACAGGCUGGAGUGGAGUGGCACACUGUAUAGGAGCCUAACACGAUAAUGGAAUCAGAAUAUACUUUGCUGAAGGU
rnacentral:lncRNA from 10 species